AUACGUAGGUGGCAAGCGUUGUCCGGAAUUAUUGGGCGUAAAGCGCGCGCAGGCGGUUUCUUAAGUCUGAUGUGAAAUCUUGCGGCUCAACCGCAAGCGGCCAUUGGAAACUGGGAAGCUUGAGUACAGAAGAGGAGAGUAGAAUUCCACGUGUAGCGGUGAAAUGCGUAGAGAUGUGGAGGAAUACCGGUGGCGGAGGCGGCUCUCUGGUCUGUUACUGACGCUGAGGUGCGAAAGCGUGGGGAGCAAACGGGAUUAGAUACCCUGGUAGUCCACGCUGUAAACGAUGAAUGCUAGGAGUUAGGGGGGUCCAACCCCUUAGUGCUGCAGUUAACACAUUAAGCAUUCCGCCUGGGAAGUACGACCGCAAGGUUGAA
rnacentral:rRNA from 1 species